rnacentral:misc_RNA from 1 species
GCCUAGAACAAAGGCGCACACUUAAGCGCAUAAGACGCUAGGGUUCAAGCCUGAUGAGUCUUGAGCUUGAGGCGUACCUCAGGCACGCCUGUGAUAACUAUGCUAGGAUGAGUAUAUUGUUUAACCAUGAUAUUCCCCUUCAUCAAUUUUUGUAAUAAGACGCAUCUCAAAGACAACAAUAUCAUGCAUCAUGAUAAAAAACUUAUCCCCUCCAGAGGAAUAGUAUUGCAUUAUUGUUUGGAUCCUAAUUUUAGACAACAAUUGUCCCAUUCUGAUCAAAUUUAGUCAAAAUUCACUUCCAGAGAGAUCAAAGGCCUCAUAAACUUCUAAUAAUUUUUGCAUUAAAGAAAUUCAAUAUAGCAACUAAUAUUGCUAUGAGAGACUGUCUAAUUUAACAAUUGUAACAUAUAGUAUGCCUUUAAACAAUUCAUCACAUUUUUUCAUUAAAUAUAACAAAUAGAAAUGGCAAUGCAUAAAAACAGAAAUGCCACCUACCCCUGCUUGUACUGAAAAUGAAGAUUAAAAACCAACUUAUUUGGAAAAGGUUGGUUGAGAAGAAAUCAGUCAGUAAGUUUCGAGAUUUAAAUUAAUGGUUUGAAAUAAAAAAACAGGCUAUUCAUAAACUCAACGCAAUGAGAAUGGCAUGUAAGGAACUGAUGCAUCUUCAUCAAUAUAAUGGUAUUAAAACUGGAUUGAAGUGGAGUUUCAUCAUUCAAUGUUUAUCAAAUAGAAACUCAAACCAUAUUCAUUUUUUAUGUUAACAAAAUGGCCCCCUUCCACCAAAAUUGCAACAACACCAAUUCCAUUUCUUACCAAAACCAAGCCCUUUUCACUAUAACGGAAAAAAUCACAUUGUGAUGCACAAGCAAAUAAAACCAAGCCUUUUCAUUAGAACAAA